rnacentral:rRNA from 1 species
ACGUAGGGGGCUAGCGUUAUCCGGAUUUACUGGGCGUAAAGGGUGCGUAGGCGGUCUUUCAAGUCAGGAGUUAAAGGCUACGGCUCAACCGUAGUAAGCUCCUGAUACUGUCUGACUUGAGUGCAGGAGAGGAAAGCGGAAUUCCCAGUGUAGCGGUGAAAUGCGUAGAUAUUGGGAGGAACACCAGUAGCGAAGGCGGCUUUCUGGACUGUAACUGACGCUGAGGCACGAAAGCGUGGGGAGCAAACAG